rnacentral:rRNA from 1 species
CUGUGAGCUCGAUGAGUAGGGCGGGACACGUGGUAUCCUGUCUGAAUAUGGGGGGACCAUCCUCCAAGGCUAAAUACUCCUGACUGACCGAUAGUGAACCAGUACCGUGAGGGAAAGGCGAAAAGAACCCCGGCGAGGGGAGUGAAAAAGAACCUGAAACCGUGUACGUACAAGCAGUGGGAGCACGCUUAGGCGUGUGACUGCGUACCUUUUGUAUAAUGGGUCAGCGACUUAUAUUCUGUAGCAAGGUUAACCGAAUAGGGGAGCCGAAGGGAAACCGAGUCUUAACUGGGCGUUAAGUUGCAGGGUAUAGACCCGAAACCCGGUGAUCUAGCCAUGGGCAGGUUGAAGGUUGGGUAACACUAACUGGAGGACCGAACCGACUAAUGUUGAAAAAUUAGCGGAUGACUUGUGGCUGGGGGUGAAAGGCCAAUCAAACCGGGAGAUAGCUGGUUCUCCCCGAAAGCUAUUUAGGUAGCGCCUCGUGAAUUCAUCUCCGGGGGUAGAGCACUGUUUCGGCAAGGGGGUCAUCCCGACUUACCAACCCGAUGCAAACUGCGAAUACCGGAGAAUGUUAUCACGGGAGACACACGGCGGGUGCUAACGUCCGUCGUGAAGAGGGAAACAACCCAGACCGCCAGCUAAGGUCCCAAAGUCAUGGUUAAGUGGGAAACGAUGUGGGAAGGCCCAGACAGCCAGGAUGUUGGCUUAGAAGCAGCCAUCAUUUAAAGAAAGCGUAAUAGCUCACUGGUCGAGUCGGCCUGCGCGGAAGAUGUAACGGGGCUAAACCAUGCACCGAAGCUGCGGCAGCGACGCUGAUGCGUUGUUGGGUAGGGGAGCGUUCUGUAAGCCUGUGAAGGUGUGCUGUGAGGCAUGCUGGAGGUAUCAGAAGUGCGAAUGCUGACAUAAGUAACGAUAAAGCGGGUGAAAAGCCCGCUCGCCGGAAGACCAAGGGUUCCUGUCCAACGUUAAUCGGGGCAGGGUGAGUCGACCCCUAAGGCGAGGCCGAAAGGCGUAGUCGAUGGGAAACAGGUUAAUAUUCCUGUACUUGGUGUUACUGCGAAGGGGGGACGGAGAAGGCUAUGUUGGCCGGGCGACGGUUGUCCCGGUUUAAGCGUGUAGGCUGGUUUUCCAGGCAAAUCCGGAAAAUCAAGGCUGAGGCGUGAUGACGAGGCACUACGGUGCUGAAGCAACAAAUGCCCUGCUUCCAGGAAAAGCCUCUAAGCAUCAGGUAACAUCAAAUCGUACCCCAAACCGACACAGGUGGUCAGGUAGAGAAUACCAAGGCGCUUGAGAGAACUCGGGUGAAGGAACUAGGCAAAAUGGUGCCGUAACUUCGGGAGAAGGCACGCUGAUAUGUAGGUGAAGCGACUUGCUCGUGGAGCUGAAAUCAGUCGAAGAUACCAGCUGGCUGCAACUGUUUAUUAAAAACACAGCACUGUGCAAACACGAAAGUGGACGUAUACGGUGUGACGCCUGCCCGGUGCCGGAAGGUUAAUUGAUGGGGUCAGCGCAAGCGAAGCUCUUGAUCGAAGCCCCGGUAAACGGCGGCCGUAACUAUAACGGUCCUAAGGUAGCGAAAUUCCUUGUCGGGUAAGUUCCGACCUGCACGAAUGGCGUAAUGAUGGCCAGGCUGUCUCCACCCGAGACUCAGUGAAAUUGAACUCGCUGUGAAGAUGCAGUGUACCCGCGGCAAGACGGAAAGACCCCGUGAACCUUUACUAUAGCUUGACACUGAACAUUGAGCCUUGAUGUGUAGGAUAGGUGGGAGGCUUUGAAGUGUGGACGCCAGUCUGCAUGGAGCCGGCCUUGAAAUACCACCCUUUAAUGUUUGAUGUUCUAACGUUGACCCGU